GACGAACCGAGCGAACGUUGUUCGGAAUCACUGGGCUUAAAGGGCGCGUAGGCGGGCUGUCAAGUCUGGGGUGAAAUCCCGCGGCUCAACCGUGGAACUGCCUCAGAUACUGACGGUCUCGAGGGAGGUAGGGGCGAGCGGAACUGAUGGUGGAGCGGUGAAAUGCGUUGAUAUCAUCAGGAACUCCGGUGGCGAAGGCGGCUCGCUGGACCUUUUCUGACGCUGAGGCGCGAAAGCUAGGGGAGCAAACAGG
rnacentral:rRNA from 1 species